AUGAAAACUCGAGCAGCGAGCAGCAAACACCGUUCCUACACUGUCCACACCGAGGUGAGUCGACAGGAUCGCCAUAUACAGACGAUAUUGCUCGCUGUGUGGAGGCCGGAUCCCCACACAGCAGCUGAUGGCAGCAAGUCAUCCAUAGAACUGCUGCCGUGCCCGCGUUCCCCAGGUGUUCCGCCGCAUCCCGGGGCGCGCCGCAGCGGGAAGGCCGCCCCCUGCAGGCAUUUGCUAACUGCUGCCGCGUGCCCGCAGCGACCCGUCCCGCCCCGCGCACGCCUUCCAGCCGCAGCCGGCGUAACCCCGCGCAGCCCCUGCGCCCUGUGCGUGGGGGAGGAGAGAAGGGGAACGGGUGACGGGCGUUCCCGGGAGGAGGCGCGGUCACUUUCCGGCCCGCCGUCUCCGCGGGGGGGUCUCGUAGCCGGCCGUGCCGCCCCGGGGCCGGGGAAGCUAGCGGUGUUUCACAGAAAGACACCAGGAUAACAGCAAGUGAGAUCUUACAUCCUGCUUUCCAGACUGCAAGACCUUUACAUAUGAAGCUAAAAGAAAAGAAUGCCUUCCCAGCUGGCAGUAGGAUUCAGGUUCAUUCCCUCUACAGACUUGCAGCAAUUAUAGGUGAGAUUCUCAGGCACUUAUCAAACCUUGCACACCACUCAUCUGUGAUUCACUGACCUACAGAAAAUGCCCUGGAUGUUUUGGUGAAAGUUAGCACGAGCCAUCACCUAGGAAAAUUCUUCACAGGAAGCUAUCAUGGUCACUACAAUAAGUUACUGACAAAAAUCUUUACCAAUCUAAAUCUUGUAUAAAUAAUUGUAUCAGAGUGAUCUUCUCUAGAGCCUGUCCAGAUAGCCAGCACCUCUGCUGCUUCAUUCUCCAAAAGCUAUGGCUGACAAUUCAGAACCACUGAAGUCAGCCAAUCAUUCUCCUAAGCACACAUCAGGUGAACUGUCACAUGCUGAUUUAUAUCUGACCCAGGGGUUAUGUGGCGGAGGCAGAGGAGGCAGCCGAGGACAAUAAGCACCCUAAUGACUGUGACUCAAAACCACUUCUGAAACUGAAAUUUCCCCUUCGUAUCACUCUUCUUAAAAGCAAGUAAGUGAAUGUUCUUGGCCAUCAGCAAAAACAGGAUACCUUACACAUUAUUUACCUGUGUGUAGUGCAGUGCAUUUUUUGUUGGGGGCAUGGAAAGGGGAACAACAAUUUCUUUGUGACUCUCCAUGGGACAGCCAACUCCUUUCUGGCUCAUAUAUAUAUUACAAAGGUCACAGCCUCAGUCCCUCUACCUCUUUUGUUGUAAUUAAGAAGAUUUACAAUUUUUACAAAAUAGUUUGCUACUUAGAAUGCAGCCUUUCAACAAUGCCUGCUAGGUAAAAAAUAAAAAACAACAAAAAAAAAUGGGGGAGUAGAAA
rnacentral:lncRNA from 1 species